rnacentral:rRNA from 1 species
AAUAUUGGACAAUGGGCGCAAGCCUGAUCCAGCCAUGCCGCGUGAGUGAAGAAGGCCUUAGGGUUGUACAGCUCUUUCACCCGCGAAGAUGAUGACGGUAGCGGGAGAAGAAGCCCCGGCUAACUCCGCCCCAGCAGCCGCGGUACUACGGAGGGGGCAAGCGUUGUUCGGCUGUACUGGGCGGAAAGGGCGCGUAGGCGGACGUUCGCGUCAGAGGUGAAAGACCCGGGCUCAACCUGGGAACUGCCUUUGAAACGGGACAUCUUGAGUUCGGAAGAGGGUAGCGGAAUUCCCAGUGUAGAGGUGAAAUUCGUAGAUAUUGGGAAGAACACCAGUAGCGAAGGCGGCUACCUGGUCGGACACUGACGCUGAGGCGCGAAAGCGUGGGGAGCAAAC